AGGAGAAAUCAAUCUACAUAGAAAAUAUUGCUCAACAAGUUAUUGGUCACUUUCUAAAUAAUCAAAGUAUAGUGCAUCUACUAAUAAUUAUAUAAUCAAUACAUUCGUUUUUACCGAUGCAAACGUGUUUAAAAUGAUGCAUUGUGAUACGAAUGCAUACUUGUAUAUCCGAUACACACUUUUUUAAAUCGAUGCAUUAUAUCGUUAACUGCACCGACGGGAAUCGUUUAAUCUUACCGUCUCUACUAGUAGGGCUGAAUAGUGUGAGUAGGAAGGUUGACGCAUGCGCAGUGGGACACAAAUUACAGCGCAUGCGUGGAAUAAUCUCCGGCGGGGAGUGGGUGUGCAGCGACGUUUUAGCGGCAGCUUUCUGGAUUGAUGUGAAGACUAAAGAUUGCCCACCUGUACACACCUGUGCAGAACUGUGGACUCCAAAAUGAAAGACGGCAUACUGCAAGCCUACUCCUGCUCCUUCUGUUCAAUAUCUUAUUCAAGUCAAAUUUACUUGGACAACCACGUAUGGAGAUUCCAUUAUGAGGAGUUUAAAAGAGGGCAGAAAUCGGGACAGGAGGAUGCCAAUGGUGAUCUGGAGGCCACAGGAAGGUCCACUAGUCAGCAAAUAUCUUCAUAUGGUUGCUCUCAUAGGCAGAAGCAGGACAAAGUUCAUCACUGCUCAGUGUGCAGAAAGAGCCACCAGGGCCUUCACACCGAAGACACAUCGUAUGACUUCUCAGAGUGUGGGAAGAGCUUUACAGGACCGUGUGCACACCAGCUUAUUCGCACAGGAGUGAAGUCACGUCAAUGUGAGCAGUAUGGAAAGACCUUUAAUCACACCGACCAUUUCCAGCGACACCAGCGCAUCCACACAGGAGAGAAACCCUUUCCCUGCUCAGAGUGCGGAAAGAGUUUUACUAAAAAGUGCCACCUGAAGCUGCACCAUCGCAUUCACACAGGAGAGAAACCAUUUCAGUGCUCAGACUGCGGGAAGAACUUUGCUAAUCAGGGUUCUCUUCAGCAGCACAAACGCAUUCACACUGGAGAGAAGCCUUAUCACUGCUCCUACUGUGGGAAGACUUUUAGUCAUCAGAGCUCCCUCAAAGAGCACCUGCGUAUCCACACGGGGGAGAAGCCCUACUGCUGCUCCGAGUGCGGGAAGAGCUUUACUCACCUGAAAGCGCUCCAGCAACACCAACACACACACACUGGGGAGAAACCGUUCCUCUGUAGACAGUGUGGGAAGAGCUUUAAAGAGCAGAGAACUCUCAGACGACACCAACGCAUCCACAGCGGAGAGAAGCCCUAUCACUGUCUUCAGUGUGGCAAGGCUUUAAAAUACCACAGCAGUCUGCAAAAACACCAAGCGGUCCACACCGGCCUGAAGCCUUAUUACUGCUUCCAGUGUGGAAAGACUUUCACUCAGCAGAGUGGCCUGCAGAGACACCAGCGCAUUCACACAGGAGAGAAGCCCUACCACUGCUCACUGUGUGGAAAGAGCUUCACUCAGGACAGCCAUCGCAAAAAACACCAGCGGCUUCACACGAGAGCGAGGUGCAAUUUCUCCACCAAGCUUCUGCCUCAAAAAUCUCCUAAUACAGAGAUGUGAAGCUCAGUCCUGUCAUGUUCAAAGACCAAAACUGAUCAUAGCACUUCAUCUACAAGGUCAGUCAAUGAGAAUUGAGCAAUAACCUAACAACCUCAUGAUAAGUAGGAUCCAGGCAGGAGCCAGGGCUCAUAGACUUCAAAAAGGAAUCUGCACUUCAGGGCGGGUUCUCCACAACUGUGGUGGUAAGAAAAGAAAAUGUGGGUGAGUAUAGUGUACUAGAGCUGCUUAUAAAGGUUAGUUCCAGCUGUAUGGAGAUCAUUCAAUCACUAUAGAAACUCACCUUGUAGAAGGACAUAUCAACACAUUCUAUUAGGUUCUGAUAUUUCCUGAUAUAAGUGAAGCUGCCUUACCACCAGGGGGAGGCAGAAUUCUUCUCAGACACUGUGUACCAUUUAUUCACACCUGUUUAUAAAUUUGUUCACUGUUAUUAAAUUAUCUGAAUUUAUAGUGAA